UAAAAGAACACUUCAUUGAGUACAAAACAACAAACAUUGUAUUGAUCCAUACAUUCAAAGAGAAAAAUGAAGAAGCACCACAUGUUAUUGAUGAUAAAAUUAUUGUACUCCAAAUACAUGGACCAUAUAUCCUUUGCUUAAAGACCACUUGAAAAUUACUUCUAAUGAAGUAACACAUUUGCAUAAUAAUAGAUAUUAUUAUUUUAAUAAUAAUAAUAAUAGAUAUAAACUAGAUAUAUAUAAAUGGAUAUAAACUAGAUAUAUAUAAAUGGCAUUGGACUCAUUAUACGUAGUGGUGUAAAUCCAAAGACUUGUGGUGGUUGGAACUUCAUGAUUUCUUCCAGAGAAUGGUGGUUUCAGCAAUCAUGGAAGUGACCACAUAAGGAUCCAUGUUAGAUGCAGGCCUUCUAUCCUCAAAGUAACCUUUUCCAUCUUUUUCUGUGUCUCUUCCAACCCUAAUUAUAGAUGCAGGCCUUCUAUCCUCAAAGUAACCUUUUC
rnacentral:lncRNA from 1 species